GGGAGUGGCAAGCGUUAUCCGGAAUUAUUGGCGUAAAGCGUCCGCAGGCGGCCUGAAAAGUCUGCUGUUAAGGCGUGGAGCUUAACUCCAUUUCAGCAGUGGAAACUGUCAGGCUUGAGUGUGGUAGGGGCAGAGGGAAUUCCCGGUGUAGCGGUGAAAUGCGUAGAUAUCGGGAAGAACACCAGUGGCGAAAGCGCUCUGCUGGGCCAUAACUGACGCUCAUGGACGAAAGCCAGGGGAGCGAAAGGGAUUAGAUACCCCUGUAGUCCUGGCCGUAAACGAUGAACACUAGGUGUCGGGGGAAUCGACCCCUUCGGUGUCGUAGCCAACGCGUUAAGUGUUCCGCCUGGGGAGUACGCACGCAAGUGUGAAACUCAAAGGAAUUGACGGGGGCCCGCACAAGCGGUGGAGUAUGUGGUUUAAUUCGAUGAUACGCGAGGAACCUUACCAGGGCUUAAAUGUAGUCUGACAGCUUUAGAGAUAGAGUUUUCUUCGGACAGAUUACAAGGUGCUGCAUGGUU
rnacentral:rRNA from 1 species